GAUGGGAAAUGGCUGGUGAGGUUGGAGAAGCACCUCCACGAAGUUGCAGGAGACGAUAACCUCAUUGAUUUGGACGAGUUCAUAAAUGCACUGAAUGUGAAGGAGUCCUUCUUUGCUGAGCGGUUCUUUGAGCUCAAUGACAAGGAUCAGUCAGGGAGUAUCAGCUUGGAGGAACUGAUAGUUGCUCUGCGGCUUCUUGUCAAUGGAACAGAACAACAGAAGCUUCACUUUCUCUUCCAGGUUUAUGACGUAGAUGGUAGCGGAUUUAUCGACGUUGAUGAGCUCAGGACGGUACUCCGAUCUUGCACAGAUGAAUGUGCAUUGACCCUGCCCGAGGAAACAUUGACGGAGCUUACUGAAAUCCUUUUCGCUGAUGCUGAUGUCGAUGGCGAUGGUGAGGUCAGCUUUGAAGAGCUUUCUGAGCAGCUACAGCGGUACCCUGGCAUCACAUCUAAUCUUAG